UACGAAGGGAGCUAGCGUUGUUCGGAAUCACUGGGCGUAAAGCGCACGUAGGCGGAUGUGUCAGUCAGGGGUGAAAUCCCGGAGCUCAACUUCGGAACUGCCUUUGAUACAGCACGUCUUGAGUCCGAUAGAGGUGGGUGGAAUUCCUAGUGUAGAGGUGAAAUUCGUAGAUAUUAGGAAGAACACCGGUGGCGAAGGCGGCCCACUGGAUCGGUCACUGACGCUGAGGUGCGAAAGCGUGGGGAGCAAACAGG
rnacentral:rRNA from 1 species